AGAGUCGCUCGGGUUUCUGUCACCCUUCAUCCUUUUUAUUUCCGACAUUCUCCUGAGGUUUGCCUUGGGACAGAAGCAGGCGCCAAUUGAAAAGGAAUGAAGGAGCCAGGCAGGAGUCCCUUGGAGAUAAUCCUGGGAAUUGAUUUGGGGGCCUAAUUGGUUAUUGGGAGAGGGCUGCUGGGGCAUCCAAGACCAGCAUUUCCCGGCUCCCCUUCCAGGAGGGCGGCGUCUACAGGUGUGGACUUGGAGGAGUAAUGACCCAGGAUCUACAAUAUCUUCGAGGCACUAUCUUGGUCCCAGGAACUUGACCGAAGGUACUACACAUUUGUCGAAGCAGAGAACCCCAAAGCUGCAGGGGGAGGCAGCAUUUCGAGACUGUGAACGCACUCGGCUCACCCACGUGAGGAGUCACAGACGCUGUUAGCUGGUGGAUUCCAGGAGUUUCUGGCUUCCUAGAACUUCAGCCUAAGAAGCUGGGGCAAUUCAAGAAGUGGCCACGGGGUGGCAGUAUGGAAUCAAAAGCCCUGCUGGCAUCCGCUGAUCCUUAGCUUGAGAUUUCCAAGCUCCUGGAAGCCGAGCCUGCCGCCCCAUGCCGGCUCCGCCAGAGCGCCUCCUUAAUUUAAUCGCCUGUCCACCGAGCUGAGAAGAAGCCUACACCAUCUUUUCAGCCUGGGCAGUUCCCACUGUUCCGAGUCUGUCAGGUUGUUUAGUAGCUGGGCUGGGAACAUGCUGAUAAAACAGUUAAUUUCUAUUUGCUGUUGCAGCGUAAUUGGAUGAACAUGAAAGCAAUUAAAUAUUAAAACAUAC
rnacentral:lncRNA from 1 species